AGUCGAGGGGCAGCGGGAUUGAAGCUUGCUUCAAUUGCCGGCGACCGGCGCACGGGUGAGUAACGCGUAUCCAACCUUCCGUACACUCAGGGAUAGCCUUUCGAAAGAAAGAUUAAUACCUGAUGGUAUCUUAAGCACACAUGUAAUUAAGAUUAAAGAUUUAUCGGUGUACGAUGGGGAUGCGUUCCAUUAGGUAGUAGGCGGGGUAACGGCCCACCUAGCCAACGAUGGAUAGGGGUUCUGAGAGGAAGGUCCCCCACAUUGGAACUGAGACACGGUCCAAACUCCUACGGGAGGCAGCAGUGAGGAAUAUUGGUCAAUGGACGAGAGUCUGAACCAGCCAAGUAGCGUGAAGGAUGAAGGUCCUACGGAUUGUAAACUUCUUUUAUAAGGGAAUAAAACCUCCCACGUGUGGGAGCUUGUAUGUACCUUAUGAAUAAGCAUCGGCUAACUCCGUGCCAGCAGCCGCGGUAAUACGGAGGAUGCGAGCGUUAUCCGGAUUUAUUGGGUUUAAAGGGAGCGCAGACGGGUCGUUAAGUCAGCUGUGAAAGUUUGGGGCUCAACCUUAAAAUUGCAGUUGAUACUGGCGUCCUUGAGUGCGGUUGAGGUGUGCGGAAUUCGUGGUGUAGCGGUGAAAUGCUUAGAUAUCACGAAGAACUCCGAUUGCGAA
rnacentral:rRNA from 1 species